AGAGUUUGAUCCUGGCUCAGAUUGAACGCUGGCGGCAGGCCUAACACAUGCAAGUCGAACGGUAACAUUUCUAGCUUGCUAGAAGAUGACGAGUGGCGGACGGGUGAGUAAUGCUUGGGAACUUGCCUUUGCGAGGGGGAUAACAGUUGGAAACGACUGCUAAUACCGCAUAAUGUCUACGGACCAAACGGGGCUUAGGCUCCGGCGCAAAGAGAGGCCCAAGUGAGAUUAGCUAGUUGGUAAGGUAAUGGCUUACCAAGGCAACGAUCUCUAGCUGUUCUGAGAGGAAGAUCAGCCACACUGGAACUGAGACACGGUCCAGACUCCUACGGGAGGCAGCAGUGGGGAAUAUUGCACAAUGGGGGAAACCCUGAUGCAGCCAUGCCGCGUGUGUGAAGAAGGCCUUCGGGUUGUAAAGCACUUUCAGUUGUGAGGAAAAGUUAGUAGUUAAUACCUGCUAGCCGUGACGUUAACAACAGAAGAAGCACCGGCUAACUCCGUGCCAGCAGCCGCGGUAAUACGGAGGGUGCGAGCGUUAAUCGGAAUUACUGGGCGUAAAGCGCACGCAGGCGGUUUGUUAAGCUAGAUGUGAAAGCCCCGGGCUCAACCUGGGAUGGUCAUUUAGAACUGGCAGACUAGAGUCUUGGAGAGGGGAGUGGAAUUCCAGGUGUA
rnacentral:rRNA from 1 species